CCUACGGGUGGCUGCAGUGGGGAAUAUUGGACAAUGGGGGCAACCCUGAUCCAGCGACGCCGCGUGUGUGAAGAAGGCCUGCGGGUUGUAAAGCACUUUUAGUGGGGAGGAAAAAAUCAGACCUAAUACGUCUGACAUUGACUUAACCCAAAGAAAAAGCACCGGCUAACUCUGUGCCAGCAGCCGCGGUAAUACAGAGGGUGCAAGCGUUAAUCGGAAUUACUGGGCGUAAAGCGUGCGUAGACGGUUAUUUAAGUCGGGUGUGAAAUCCCCGG
rnacentral:rRNA from 1 species